CCUACGGUGAGCAGCAGUGAGGAAUAUUGGUCAAUGGGCGCGAGCCUGAACCAGCCAAGUAGCGUGAAGGAUGACUGCCCUACGGGUUGUAAACUUCUUUUAUAAAGGAAUAAAGUGAUCCACGUGUGCCUUUUUGCAUGUACUUUAUGAAUAAGGAUCGGCUAAGUCCGUGCCAGCAGCCGCGGUAAUACGGAGGAUCCGAGCGUUAUCCGGAUUUAUUGGGUUUAAAGGGAGCGUAGAUGGGUUGUUAAGUCGGUUGUGAAAUUCGGCGGCUCAACCGAUACAUUACUAUUAAUACUGGCGGCAGUGAGUGCAGGUGGGGCAGCUGGAAUUCG
rnacentral:rRNA from 1 species